CGAGGCCGAAAGGCGUAGUGGAAGGGAAACAGGUUAAACUUCCUGUACUUGGAGUGACUGCGAAGGGGGGACGGAGAAGGCUAUGUGGGCCGAGAGACGGUUGUCCAGGUUUAAGCGUGUAGGCUGGUUUUCCAGGAAAAUCCGGAAAAUCAAGGCUGAGGCGUGAUGACGCGGCACUACCGCUCUGAAGACACUAAUGCCCUGCUUCCAGGAAAAGCAUCUAAGCAUCAGAUAACAUCAGAUCGUACCCCAAUCCGACACAGGUGGUCAGGUAGAGUAGACCCAGGAGUUUGAGAGAACUCGUGUGAAGGAACUAGGCAAUAUGGUGCCGUAACUUCCGGAGAAGGCACGCUGAUACGUAGGUGAAGUCCCUUGCGGAUGGAGCUGAA
rnacentral:rRNA from 1 species